UGGGGAAUAUUGCACAAUGGGCGAAAGCCUGAUGCAGCAACGCCGCGUGAGGGAAGACGGUUUUCGGAUUGUAAACCUCUGUUUUCGGUGACGAACAAAUGACGGUAACCGAGUAGGAAGCCACGGCUAACUACGUGCCAGCAGCCGCGGUAAUACGUAGGUGGCAAGCGUUAUCCGGAAUUACUGGGUGUAAAGGGAGCGCAGGCGGCAGGGCAAGUCAGAUGUGAAAUACUGGGGCUCAACCCCGGGACUGCAUUUGAAACUGUCCGGCUAGAGUGCAGGAGAGGCAGGCGGAAUUCCUAGUGUAGCGGUGAAAUGCGUAGAUAUUAGGAGGAACACCAGUGGCGAAGGCGGCCUGCUGGACUGUAACUGACGCUGAGGCUCGAAAGCGUGGGGAGC
rnacentral:rRNA from 1 species